CGGGUGCUUCAGGGUCCGAGAACCUGCAGAAGUUCACACUUAAAUCCUACACGAGAGUCGUAUUUAUGAUGCAGAACUCGGGAAAAUGAGGUUGAAAAGGGUGAAUGAAUUCCUUAAGGUCAAGAAAAAGGAUCGGUAUUCAAACCUGCCUAUCUGGAAGAUAAGCUUAGACUGCCCUACAGGAGGCACUGUGGCUUAUCCCCUUGGGGCUUUAAAGAUGUGAGGACCUUAGAGAUCCAUUAGUCUAACCUGUGCGUGGUGCAGCCUCCCCACCCCGACAACAAAUCCAUAUUUUACAGAUGGAGAAACGGAGGCCCAGGGAAGGGAUGUGCCCGAGGUCAUACAAAGAAGUUUGUGGGAAUCCAGGUCUGACUCGCACUCAAUCUAGUGCUCUAAUAAUGACUUGAGUGAAUUGUAUGAAUGUGCUCAGAGGUGGAGCAGCAAUCAUAAAAGUAAUAAUGGUACCAUUUAUGGACCAUCUAACUACUGUGUUAAAACAAUUUACAGGCCAUGCGCGGUGGCUCACGCUUGUAAUCCCAGCACUUUGGGAGGCCGAGGCGGGCAGAUCACGAAGUCAGAAGAUCGAGACCAUCCUGGCUAACACGGGACUCAAGACUGGAAUGGGAAGAGCAUGAAAUUGAGCUGUCUAUCCCCCUGGAUCUCUCAUUGCCACCUGCCCAUAGGUUGGCUGCACCCCUCCACCAAAGAAAGGCCAUGACUCCUUCCUGGCAGCCCUGUCUUACAGCUACUCUCUGGUGAUCUGGGAACCACUCCCUCCCUUACCCCUUGAUGCCUAGGGCUAGUGCCAGCACCUUGUUGUUGUUAGCCUCAGAGGCACUUGCACUGUUCCUUGAUGGUUUUCCCAAAUCUUGCCCUCAUCUUUGUAAAUACUGUUUGCCGUUUAUUACACUGUCAUCAUAUUACCCAAUUUGAGUGUGUCAUCUAUUUCUUCCAAGACCCUGACUGAUACAGUGGGUAUAUUUGGAGCCAGAAAAAACAAUGACAACAAAACCAUUUGUUUGAGAAUUAGAAUGUGUUAGGAGAGUCCAUAAUCAGAACUGUCUGAGCACAUUUACUGCUGCCUAUGAACGGUUUAGAGGAUGAGGACAGCUGGCAUGGGAUUAAGGUAACCUUGUCCAGAAAGAUUUCAUUCAUUUAGAAAAAAUUUAUUGAAGGCCUACUAUCAUGCACCAAGCACUACUCUAGGUGCUGGGGGAAAAGGACAAAUAAAUCAUGUUCCUUUCCCUCAAGGAGCUCACAAUCUAGUAGCAGGGGACAGAUAUGUAAACAGUUAGUUGCAUAAAGCAUCACAGUGCUGUAGUAGAUGUCUGAGCUAGAGAUAAGAACUUUGGAA
rnacentral:lncRNA from 1 species